rnacentral:rRNA from 1 species
UAACUUGUUCGAUAAUUAAGUUUCGGAUAACCGUGGGAAACCAAGGCUAAGACGUGUGGAACGCAAAAUCUGAUUUUGCUGUUUUUCUUGUUGUUUAAAUUGAACGCUUUAACGCGUGCGCAGAUUCGCAAGAACUUUUCGAAUCGAAAUUUUUCGAUAAGUCGUUUAGGGUUCUGACCUAUCAGCUCUCGUCGGUAGGAUAUUGGCCUACUGAGGCGAUGACGGGUAACGGGGAAUUAGGGUUUGAUUCCGGAGAGGGAGCCUGAGACAUGGCUACCACGUCUAAGGAUGGCAGCAGGCGCGCAAAUUACCCAAUCCUGACAAAGGGAGGUAGUGACAAAGAAUAGCAACUCAAAGCAUUUGCUUUGCUGAUUGCAAUGAGAUUCGGCUAAAGCUCGUUUCGAGAAUCAAUUGGAGGGCAAGUCUGGUGCCAGCAGCCGCGGUAAUUCCAGCUCCAAUAGCGUAUAUUUAAGUUGUUGCAGUUAAAAAGCUCGUAGUUUAAUCGAUUUGUUUGUAUUGCUUCUCAUUUUUGAGAAAGCGACAGAUUUGGGCUCUUUUUGAGUUUUCUGUUACUUUGAGAAAAAUUGAGUGUUUCACGCGGGCCAGAGCUGAAAUAGUUUACCAUGGAAUGACGAUGUGGCCGUUGUCUUGUUUCUUCAGUUUUGAGACAACGGCACGUGGUUGAAAGAAACGGUCGGGGGUAUUCGUAUUGAACAGUCAGAGGUGAAAUUCUUAGAUUUGCUCACGACGAACAAAUGCGAAAGCAUCUACCAAGGAUGUUUUCAUUAAUCAAGAACGAAAGUUAGGGGAUCCAAGACGAUCAGAUACCGUCGUAGUCUUAACCGUAAACUAUGCCGACUAGAGAUCGGUGGAAAUCAUUGUAGAUUCCGUCGGCACCUUACGAGAAAUCAAAGUUUUUGGGUUCUGGGGGGAGUAUGGUCGCAAGGCUGAAACUUAAAGGAAUUGACGGAAGGGCACCACCAGGAGUGGAGCCUGCGGCUUAAUUUGACGCAACACGGGAAAACUCACCAGGUCCAGACAUAGGAAGGAUUGACAGAUUGAGAGCUCUUUCUUGGUUCUAUGGGUGGUGGUGCAUGGCCGUUCUUAGUUGGUGCCGUCAGGUGUCUGGUUAAUUCCGUCAACGAACGAGACCUUUGCCGGCUUAUUAGAUUCUUUUUCUGAGGAUUAAGGAUCUACUUAGCGGGACCUUGUGCGUCACAGUACAAUGAAGCAAAGGCAAUAACAGGUCUGUGAUGCCCUUAGAUGUUCUGGGCUGCACGCGUGCUACAAUGGCGUUCGCAAAAAGUGGCGUUUCUGAAAGGAAAAGCGAAUCUUAGAAUUGGCGUCGUGAUCGGGACAGUUGAUUGCAAUUAUUUGACUCGAACGAGGAAUUCCUUGUAAUCGCGAUUCAUCAUAUCGCGCUGAAUACGUCCCUGCCCUUUGUACACACCGCCCGUCGCUCCUACCGAUUGAGCGGUCCGGUGAAUUAUUUGGAACGAAGCAGAGCAAUGUUAUGUUGCUGUGAUUUGCGAAAUUUUGUGAACCUUAUCGCUUAGAGGAAGGAAAAGUCGUAACAAGGUU